GUAUCCUUGGUGUAAUGGUAGCAUAAUGGUCUCCAAAACCAUUGGUUAGGGUUCAAGUCCUUAAGGGUAUGCA
rnacentral:tRNA from 1 species